rnacentral:rRNA from 1 species
AAGCAGGGGAUCGUAAGACCUUGCGCUUUUGGAGCGGCCGAUGUCUGAUUAGCUAGUUGGUGGGGUAAUGGCCUACCAAGGCUUCGAUCAGUAGCUGGUCUGAGAGGACGGCCAGCCACACUGGGACUGAGACACGGCCCAGACUCCUACGGGAGGCAGCAGUGGGGAAUUUUGGACAAUGGGCGCAAGCCUGAUCCAGCCAUGCCGCGUGAGUGAAGAAGGCCUUCGGGUUGUAAAGCUCUUUCAGCCGGGAAGAAAAGGUUGCGAUUAAUAAUCGCAAUUCAUGACGGUACCGAAAGAAGAAGCACCGGCUAACUACGUGCCAGCAGCCGCGGUAAUACGUAGGGUGCGAGCGUUAAUCGGAAUUACUGGGCGUAAAGGGUGCGCAGGCGGUUUUGUAAGUCAGAUGUGAAAUCCCCGGGCUUAACCUGGGAACCGCGUUUGAAACUACAAAGCUA